rnacentral:lncRNA from 1 species
AAAAUAACAUUUUUAUUUAUAAAUUUAUCUUUACAAGAACUGGAACAAGUUUAAUUGGCAAUGUUUAGCACCAGCACAGAAAUCCAAAAGUCCACACUGAAUCAGUGGAGGGAAAAAACGUCAGGAUCGAUCAAGUGAGAAAGACGUGUCUGAGCCCCCGUCCCGUCGUCUGCUCUCCCGUUGCCAGAACUUCCAUUUGGAACAUUAUUCAAAAUAUUUAUAAGGUAACUAACCAUAUGCAGUAUGCUUUCAGUGACAGGAAUAAACCAGAUUCCAGUUCAGUAUCAUCCAAGUUUACACUUUCAUUAUCGUCAGAGGAGUAAAAACCUUCUGUAUCAAAGCUCUCUGAUAAAGCAUCUUCAUCAUCUUGAUCCUCUUCUAAAGGACAUCUUCUGUAGAUAGAAGGAUACAUUUGUCUGCAACUAAACAGAUUAUUUCUCGAAAUCGUAAAAAAAACUUGGGAAACGUUUUACUUUCAAUCAUCAGCCUGACUUCUGCUAGAUCUCAAACACCGAUUCCCGGCGAUUUUUUAUUCGUCGUUGCCUAAUGGAAAUGUGUACGGUUAGAAAUGGGUCAUUGUUAUUUUUACAAAUGGGCAAUGUUGAAAAGUAAUGUUGGAUUUUCAACAAUCAAAAAUAAAGACAAGAACAUCCUAAUAACAACUAUGAAAUUUUACGAGCAGACUGAAGAGAAAUCUUGUUGACAAAAAUUGUUCCAGGUCUUGUUUUAUGACUGCUGCACUAUGGCACGGUAUUUGGCUCACAUGUAUUUGAUCGAAAAUAUCGAAAAUAUUUAAAAAAAAUCAAAUUGCGAUGAUAAUUUUUAAAAUCGUUUUAAAAAUU